rnacentral:rRNA from 1 species
UACGAAGGGGGCUAGCGUUGUUCGGAUUUACUGGGCGUAAAGCGCACGUAGGCGGAUUGUUAAGUUAGAGGUGAAAUCCCGGAGCUCAGCUCCGGAACUGCCUCUAAUACUGGCAAUCUCGAGUCCGGAAGAGGUAAGUGGAACUCCUAGUGUAGAGGUGGAAUUCGUAGAUAUUAGGAAGAACACCAGUGGCGAAGGCGGCUUACUGGUCCGGUACUGACGCUGAGGUGCGAAAGCGUGGGGAGCAAACAGG